GGGAGCACGAGUGCGCGCCAUCUGUGAGAGAGAAACCGCUGUGGACUGCUGCGCGGUAUGCGGAGUAUUACGAAGAGUUCAGGGAGAGUCGGCAGUGUAUUGAGGAUGUGCCGGAUCUACCCGGGGCGCAUCCAAUUACAGGUGAACCUAUAAAGCCGUACUUUCCAUGCGCGGAAGGUACGAUCCCGACUGAAUGCAACCCGUGUGACAGAAAUUUGGGGCGUUUGCAGCGUUUGAAAGACACGCCGGAUAUUUGCAGGUGUAUUGUCAAAUGCCCGAAAGCAAAAUGGCCGUGCCGGGCGUGGGAAGUGAAGAAGAAGCAGGCGUUUGUGGUUAAACAGGAUAAACGGUUGGUGAAACCACAGAGGGCGGUGUAUAGCGGUGGAAAACUGAAUAAAACUAAGACAUGAA